GUGUUCGCUUCAGCAGCACACAUACUAAAAUUGGAACACUACAGAGAAGAUUAGCAUCCCCUGUGCAAGGAUGACACGCAAAUUCGUGAAGGGUUCCAUAUUUUU
ensembl:snRNA U6 U6 spliceosomal RNA